UCAAUUUUAAGUAAACAUGAAUUGCUUGUAAAAAUUCAUGUUUUUUUCUUCUUAAGGUCACAUAUGCAUAGUAAUCCUAUCUUAUUAGAUGAAGCAAUAUAAACAUAGUAUGUAAUUAGAUGUUCCUUACGAUAAAAACGACAAUUAUCUAUCUGAAUCUACUACCUAUUCGAAUAAGAAAUUUUAGAAUACGUCUGGUCACUACCAGUCAACGGACGAGGUCCCUUGACACAGCUCGAAGUUAGAACAAAAAGUAAGUAACAACAGAAAACAACACAAGCAGUUUACGUGGAAACCUCCUUGCUCAAGGGAGUAAAACCACGACCUGUGACACAGGAUUUUCAACCGUUUUCACUAAUCUUUAGAAGCAAAGUCAAACCCGAUUACAACAACAUGAGAAAAAGUUAUUAAUCUCACAACCAAGAAAUAAUUCUAUUGCUUGAAGAGACUUAGCAGAUUUCACUUUGCCCACUAAGAUAUCACGUCUAGACAACUUAGGAUUCAACUAACCAACACGUAGGUUGCCGUCUAAAUCACCACGCUCCGAAUGACUUAGGAUUUUUGAAAAGCAACACAGUAGGCUACCCACUAAAUAAGUUUGACUCAACUUAUUUAGGAUUUUCACCCUACACAGCUUUCUGAUUUCUUUAAAGAUGGAGGAACAUUUUUACAAUUUACGUGCAGAGGAAAUAAUCCAAAGAAAACUAUGCUUCAAGCUCUUUCAUAUUGGAGUUGAUCUUUAGGAUGCUUCUUCACUCCUUUUGUAAGCCUUUGCAAGAGUUCUUGAUAUUCCUUUUCAUGUUGCAAAAACUAAUUGUGAGUAUAUGGAUAUUUUGUUUCUGUAGAAAGGUAACAAAACAUCAGACGAUCCCAUUGGUUGAGGUUUCUAGCGCGUCUACCACUUCUGCCACUGUUGGAGACUGUGCACCAACUUUUUGUAGUUUCUCCAGGUGGCAGUGAAACAUAUAUUGAGCCAUGAACCAGUUUCCUUAUAAGGUCCCUAAGUUUGUCAAAUCAUCAAAACUACAAAUAAAAUUUUCCCCCUUUUUGAUGAUGACAAACAGUACACCAGUGCCUACAUGUUCUUUCAUGUUUCCUUCCCCCUGUCGAUAUACCAGUACACCAGUACCUAUCUGUUUUUCCAUGUUUUCUUUCCCCUGUCGAUAAAGAACUAAAAGUUGCAUGUACAUUUGCACAGUGAAUCAGUUCUGACUCUGGAUUUGUUAAAUCAUCAAAACUACAAAUAAUAUUUUCCCCCUUUUUGAUGAUGACAAACCAUACACCAAUGCUGGCAUUUCUUUCCCCUGUCAAGUGGACACACACCUCAGUUUCCUACACCAUGGAAUAGGUACCUUUACAAGGUCCUUGAGUUACACUGGUACCUGCACUUGAGUUAUACUUAUGCCUGCAUGUUUAUUUUUCCUUGUCGCUUUUUCUUUCCUCCUCCCUUGUACUUCUUACAAACUUAAGCAUCAUCUGAACACCCCCAAUUUAUUCCCCCUUUUUACAUCAUAAAAAAGUAGUGAGUAGACCAACCAAAGAAGUAUGAUUGAUAAGUAAGAUCACAGUCAAGGAUAACACAAACAUAAUUAAUAAACCAAUAAGCAAUAGAAUUUAGCCACAACAAAACAAGAUUCCAUUUCAUGAGCAUAAAAAAAUCACCAUUCAAUACAUUGAAGUUAAACUAAAAAUUGAGAACCCCGAACACUAUCCACAAUAAAAAAAUUGACACAUGAAAGACAAUGAGGAGGAAGGUAGAGGAGAGAGGGAGUUGAUACCAAGGGUUAGUCUAGAGUUUGUUGCAUCGUUAUCUUUAAUCAUCUUCUCUUGAAGAGCAGCAAAAUUUGCAGGAAGCUCAUCAGUCUGCUUUUGUAGCUUCUGGACAACCUCGGUACCAGGUCCCUCUAUUUGCUCUUUUAGCAGGUCUUCUUUUAAUAGAGCAAUUUCAGCUUCAUUGUUCCUCACUAGCACUGUUAUCACAUCCAAUUCAUGUUUCAAUUGGUCCUGCUCCUUGAUCAACUGAGAACUUUACUCAGUGGGUUUUCCUUCCUUUCAAUACACUCACAUGAUGAAUAGCUCAGUUGUAGAAGCCACAAUUUUUUAAUUUUUUUUCAUAAUAACCUUUUUUCUCGCAGAAGUCUUAAAUUUCUUUUACUUUUACCCUUACUUUCUUAGAUGAAGUGUCCCUUGUAUCAACAGAAGUGGCUUUAAAAAAGGAAAAAAAACAACUAGAUCUAUCUUAUUUAGAGAGUCUAGGAUUUUCUUUGAAGAAGAAGGGAAUUGAGACUUGAUUGUUUGAAAGAAAAUACUGAAAUGAUAGAGAAAGAUAGCGAUAUUGAGAGUGUUUUGAUGUUAGACUUAGAGAUAAAAGUUGGAAUGUAAGAAGAUGGAGUGUAGAAAAGGCACUAUCAAAAAAACUUAAAAUAGUGUGUCAGGUCCCUUGAUAUAUGCAUCACUUGGAUUAGAGGCGAUGGGACAACGGUCAGAAGGAUCGAUGACUGACAUGUGACAAUCUGGAUGGUUCUCAUUUGACAGCGUAAAACAAAUGCAAAGAGUGCUAACCUUAGGAAGGACCAGGUCAUCAAUUGCACAUGAAAUACAAUUCCUGAAUGGUACUGGCCAUUCUCUGCUCCUGUGCUUUCCAUAGGCAUAUACGUGUAUUCAGGUAGAAAGACGAUCUUACUUAAACAAUGCAUUAAAAGUUUUGUAGAUACCUUCCCUCCAGAUCUUAGCCAAAAUAAAGAAUUAGAGGCUUCUUGAUGAGAUUAGGUUAGUGCAUGUUCAUUAUCCCUAACUUCAGCUUCUUGGUCUCAAAUCGAUCCUCAGUUAGAGCUUUAGUAAAGAUGUAUGCAAUCAAAUCUUCCGUCAUGCAGUAUCUCGUGAUGAUGUUCCCCUUCUCAACAUUAUAUCUAAAAAAGUCAUGCCUGACAUAAAUGUGAUUGGUUAUUUUGUGUUGGACUGAUUCUUUCCCAUGUUAACUGCACUAGCAUUAUCACACAUGAGAGGAAUGGUGUUGACGUGGACUCCAAAAUCCUCAAGCUAUUGUUUUAUUCAAAGAAGUUGGCACAUCUGGAAGCAGCAGCUACACACUGAGCCUCAACUUCUGAGAGAGUCACUUAAUGAGUGAGGAUCCAAGGAAAUGUGUCAUUACAAAAGUGCUCUUUCUAUCAAGUUGAUAUCCUCAUGAUUCUCUUAGCUGCCUUUAGAUGAGAUUCUCUGGGACAUUCUUGGAACCGUGCACACAUUUCCAUGCUGAAUACCAUGUCCGAUCUGCGUGCAUAUGAAACUUCUUUAGCAGCUCCUUUCUAUGCUUCCUUUGAUAGAAUAAGGUUCCACUGGAGGUUUGCUUAAUAUGCAGACCUAUGAUGAAGUUCAGCUCUCCCAUCAUACUCAUCUCAAAUUUGUUUCCUAUGAGAGUAUCAAAUUCUUCAUACAUAUGUUCAGAAGUUUCUCCAAAAAUGAUAUCAUCCACAUACACCUGAAUGAUAAGAAAUUCUUGAUCUCUUUUUAUAAAACAUAAUGUAUUGUCAAUUUUCCCCCUAUUUAAGCUAUUCAUUAGUAAAUACUUUGACAGCCUUUCAUACCAAGCUCUAGGUGCCUGAUUCGAACCAUACACAUCUUUGUUGAGUUUGAACACAUGAUUUGGAAAAUUUGUAUCCUCAACUCCAAGUGGAUGUUUAACAUAUACUGCUUCCUUCAUAUCACCAUUCAAAUAGGCACUUUUAAUAUCCAUCUGGUACUGUUUUAACCCAAUGAAUGUUGCAAAUACUAUGAUGAUUCUGAUAGCCUAUAUUUUCAUCCAGCUUGUUUUUGAACACCUACCUGGUCCCAAUACUUGUUCUGUCAGCAAGUCUUGGGACCAGGUACCGCACAUUGCUUCGCUCAAAUUGAUACAAUACAUCUUGCACGGAGAUUACUCAGUCAACAUCCAUCAGAGCUUCUUUCAAAUUUAUAGGCUUAAUAGUAAGAUAAAUACUAAGAAUGCAAUCAGAUUCCUUGUUUUUGACCUUGUUUGUAUCCUAGAAUUUAGAGGAGAGAUGAUAUUUUCAAGGGGGUGAGAUGAACUAUGCUUCAAUCCAUAUCUAGAUCCCAGAGACUGUUGUUGAUCCAUCUGUUCUUCUUCAUCUUCAGAAUCAUCAUUUUUAGUGGGAGUAUCAGAUUCCUCUUGUCUUGCAUCAUUAGAAAGACCAGGUCCCUUAGUAGGUUGGUCGUCCUCUUCCACCUCCUCAGAUGGACUAAGAUCGGCAACAUCAGAGUCAAGAUUCACCUCAACUUCAUUCCUACUUACUACAUGGUUAUGGAAUUUAAAUAGCUCCAGCAAAUAAUCAUCAUCAUUCAUAUCAACUAUCUCAGACUUUGACUUUACAAACAUAGUCCUCAUAAUCUUGAGUAGUCAUCCACAACCACUAAAAUGUACUUUUUCUCGCUUAAGCUUUGGAUCUUCACCGGUUCACACAAGUCCAUAUGUAUUAACUCAAAAACCCUUGAAUAAUUACUUUCUUCUUUGAUUUUAAUGAAAAACGGAUUUGUUUCCCUUUGACACAUGCAUCACACACUUUACUGUCAUUGAAUUUCAUCUUUGGCAGACCCCGGACCAGGUCCCUAUAAACCAAUUUGUUAAGUAGAGAAGAGCUAUUAUGACCUAGUCUCAUAUGGCAGAAGUUAGUACUUUCACUUUGAGCACUUAGGCAUGUCAAAUCAUCUCCAUGAGUUAUUUCUUAUUCUGUCGCAUAUAUGUUUUUCCUUCUUCUGGCAGUCAAAAUCGCCCUCUUUUUGCAAUUGCCAAAAAUUGACACCUCCUACUUGAAGUGCCAUGAGUGAAAGGAUGUUUUUUGUAUUUCCAGUUAUGUGAUUUGAGUCGACACGAUCCAUGUACCAACACGUGCUGCUACUUCCUUCACUCGCCUGCAAUAACCUUAGUUGUUAGAUUUGGGAACCCACUUCGAUCGGAGUUCCCAAUAAGCUGACAAAGGUGUAAUGAGAGUGUUUUUUCCCAGUGUGGGAACUUUGUCUUCUUCAAGAUUAAGACACUAUGAACUAGAGAAGAUCCUCUAUUUCUAGCUGUUUCUUUUCUAGGCUUUUUUCCAGUAGGACCAGGUCCCCUUAGCCAAGUCCUUUUCUGCUUAUAAUAGGCAGAGGAAUUUUUUUGUGAAGCUUUCUAGGUAGGACAAUCUCCUUGUAGAUGGCUGUUUCGACCACAGUGAAGACACAGUAAAUUGUCUGAGACAAACACAUAUUUGUUGUGGGGGUUGUAAAGAGGAGUAAUGUUCAAACUUCCUAACCCCCUUUUGUUAUAGUUGAUUUUAUUUGUAACAAUAUAUAGAAGUUCGGUUCAGCUGGUCCAUUUUAAGGAUACUUGUAGUUCCUCCUUAAGACGGACCAGGUCCCUCAUCAUCUGAUAAUUUCCUUCCAGGGCGAAGGCAAGUCUAGUUUCUGUUGUGUUUAAGUUGCUUUCUAACUCUGCCUACACAUUAGUAGCUUCCCCUUCCUUUAACUAGAUUUCUCAAUCAUCAAAUCCAGGUUCUCCUUAAGUUCUAGUUUUUCAUAUUCAAUAACCGUCACUUGUUCCUCAAGAACAGACAUCUGAACUACCAUUACUUCCUUUUCUUCAUUUAGACUCUCAAGACUAUUGUUUAUAGAGUCCCUUUCAAUAGUUAACUCUAUAAAAAAAAGUCAAUCAAGACAUUUGCUAACCUUCUUAACCGUUUAAUAGAGUACAUACUCAAGUUUUGCUUAAAAGAAAGAAGAGUUACCUUAUAUUCAUCAUCAUCCUCAUCGUAUUUAGCCACAAGAUAAAACAUCCCAUUGAAUACGUUAGCCUCGUCUUGAAUCACUAGCAUUGAUUAAUCUUUAGGACAAUUUGAAUCUCCUGACUUGAUUGAAGAGUCUCCCACUGCAGCAAGAUCUUUAUUCACUAUAUAGUCAGCUGCAAUUUUUCUCGCACUUUUGUCUGGUACCAGGUCCCUUCAUUUGUACUUUUCACCUCCUGGCCUUUGAUACUUCUUGUUUUUAGCUUUGAGCAUAGGACAAUCCCUUAUAAAGUGCCCAGACUUUCCACAUUUGUGACAAGAGUCACUAGCUGUUACAGCUCGAGAAGGGUUCCCUCCUUUUCUAAACCUUUUAUUUUUUCUUAUGAUCUUCUGAAAUUUCUUGGGAAUAUAGUCCAUAUCAUCUUCUUCACUACACACUUCCCCAGGAGUAAAUUUGAGUACUACAGACUUGUCUUUCUUGGCCUCCUUCUUUGAGAGCUCUUGACUUCUAUUCAUUUCAUGUGUCUUGAGAUUUCCAAAAAGAUCAUCCAUCCUCGGAACUUUUAGAUCAUUGGCUUCAGUGAUAGCAUCUACUUUGUUUUCUUAUGACUUAGGAAGAAUUUGAAGAACUUUUCUAACUUGCUUACUAGUACUGAAUGGCUCUCCAAUACAUCGUAGCUCAUUGGUUAUGGAGGAAAGUUUAGUAUACAUGUCAUGAAUAGUUUUCCCUUCAUUCCUUCUGAAAUUUUCAUAUUGAGAAAUGAGCAUAUCCCCCUUUGGUUCCUUCACCUUCUCAGUACCUUCAUGAGCAGUCCUGAGACAAUUCCAGAUCUCUUUUGCUAAUUCAUAGGUAGAAACACAAUUAUAUUCUUCAGCACUUAUACCACAAUCCAACAUCUUCUUAGCCUUGUAGCCUUUAUCAAUGUUCUUUUUAUCCGCUUCGCUGUAUUGUUUACCAAUUUUUUGAACAAUUCUCGUUGUCUAACCGUCCUUUACUUCAUAGGUUGGCAUAAAAGUCCCAUCCAAUACCAUGUCCCAUAAUUCACUAUCCUUAUCUAUAAGAUAUUCAUGCAUUCUUGUUUUCCACCAACUAUAGAAAUGGCCGUUGAAACAUGGCGGUCGAGUUGAGGAUAGCCCUUCUUCUAGGUUAAGUGGAGAAGCCAUUCUGAUACAUGAACCAUUCUCUUCGUGUCAACCAGCUAGAGAGUACUUGCUUUGAUACCACUUAUUAUAAUACAUGCAUCCACUUACCAGUCAAUUGACCAGGUUCCUCGACACAACGCAAAGUAUGAACAAAGAGUAAGUAACAAUAGAAAACAGCACAAGUAGUUUACGUGGAAACCUCCUUGCUCAAGGGAGUAAAACCACGACCUGUCACAAAGGAUUUUCAAUCGUUUUCACUCUUCUUCACAAGCAAAAGUGAAACUCGAUUACAACAACUUGAGAAAAAACUAUUAAUAUCACAACCAAGCAAUAACUCUAUUGGUUAAAGAGCUUAAGCAGAUUUCACUCUGCCUACUAAGCUAUAACCUCUAGACAACUUAGGUUUCAACUAAGCAACACCCAGGUUGCCCACUAAAUCACCACGCUCCGAAUGACUUAGGAUUUUUGCUAAGAAAUGCACAAUGCUGCCCACUAAAUCAGUUGGACUCAAUUGAUUUAGGAUUUUCACCUCAAAUAUCUAUAUGAUCCCUUUAUAAUUGGAGGAAGAGAUUUACAAUUUAUGUGCAAAAGAAAUAAUCUUAAGAUAACUAAGCUUCAAGCUCUUUCAGAUUUGAGUUGAUCUUGAGGAUGCUUUUUCACUCCUUUUGUAAGCCUUUGCAAGAGUUCUUGAGAUGCCUUUUCAAGUUGCAAAAACUAAUUGUUAGUAUAUGGAUGUUUUGUUUUUGUAGAAAGGUCACAAAACCUAAAACAAUCCCAUUGGAUGAGGUCUCUGGCGUGUCUGCCACUUCUGGCACUGUUGGAGACUGUACACCAAUUUUUCAUAAUUUCUCCAGCUGGCAGUGAAAAAUAUAUUGAGCCAAGAACCAGGUUCCUUCAUAACGUCCCUAAGUUUGUCAAAUCAUCA
rnacentral:lncRNA from 1 species